rnacentral:rRNA from 1 species
GAUGAACGCUGGCGGCGUGCCUAAUACAUGCAAGUCGAGCGAACGGACGAGAAGCUUGCUUCUCUGAUGUUAGCGGCGGACGGGUGAGUAACACGUGGAUAACCUACCUAUAAGACUGGUAUAACUUCGGGAAACCGGCGCUAAUACCGGAUAAUCUUUUGAACCGCAUGGUUCAAAAGUGAAAGACGGUCUUGCUGUCACUUAUAGAUGGAUCCGCGCUGCAUUAGCUAGUUGGUAAGGUAACGGCUUACCAAGGCAACGAUGCAUAGCCGACCUGAGAGGGUGAUCGGCCACACUGGAGGGGAGACACGGUCCAGACGCCUACGGGAGGCAGCAGUAGGGAAUCUUCCGCAAUGGGCGAAAGCCUGACGGAGCAACGCCGAGUGAGUGAUGAAGGUCUUCGGAUCGUAAAACUCUGUUAUUAGGGAAGAACAUAUGUGUAAGUAACUGUGCACAUCUUGACGGUACCUAAUCAGAAAGCCACGGCUAACUACGUG